GGAGAUAUGGCUCAGUGAUGCAGUGCCUGCCUUGCAAGCACAAGAUCCUGAGUUCAAUUCCCAGUAUCACCA
rnacentral:tRNA from 1 species